UUUUCACUCGAAACUUGAUACAGAAUUGAACCUUUGAUCUUUGUGUUAAACAUAGAACAGGUUCUUUUUUGUUCCAUCUGCAAUUUCCCAUAAUUCAUUUGUUUACAGAUUUCUUUUUUUCCAUUGAAUCUUUUCAAUGUUAUUAAAAAUCUCAAAAUCUCUCAUUGAAAACUUUUUGUUUACAUUAAGUUUUUUUUUCUAGUAUGUCAAACAACCAUUUAAAGAUGUUUAAGCUUUAAAUCACUAAAGCAUAAACGGUGAAUACCUCGACUCCUAAAUCGAUGAAGACCGUAGCAAACUGCGAUAAUUCACUUGAAUUGCAGCCUACUGGGAUAGUUGAAAUGUUGAACGCACAUGAUGGCAUUGGCCCUUUGGGUUAAGUGUCAUACUUGGGUGAGAGCGAUCUCUCAUUAAAUAUCAAAAUUUCUAUUAGUUAAACUAAUUUCCCUUUCGAGGGAUUUUUAACCUACAAACGAUUUUUUUGAUAUAAUAGCUUUUUUUCUUCACGAAGGAACUAAGUUAUUUUUAUAGUUGAUCUAUAGUAGUCUUUGCAGUGGUAUAAUCGACUUUGCUCCAUGAAGCCUAAAAAACUUCAGUCGGACCAUUCUAUUUGAUGUCUGUUUCUUUACCUGAAGCUUUAAUCAAACGUUCAAUUGAAAAAGCGAACAACCGAUUUUAAUUUCACCAAAAAGGUUUAGUUACUAAUUCUUUUAUUAUGGCUCAUCUUGUAUGUUAAUCCUUCUAAAAAAUUGGAGUGACUCUUUUGUAUAAUCCAAACACUGAUAAAGUAACAACUUUAUUGAGCAUUCUAACCGGUUUAGUUUAUCUUUACUGGCUCAACGUAGUAGUAUA
rnacentral:misc_RNA from 1 species